AAAAUGCCUUGGCAAUUUUAGCAUAGUUCCUAGAAUAUUGGUUGGCACUCAAAGGGUUAAUUCCCUUUUAAUGUGCAUGAAUUUCGUGCCCUGGGCCACUAGUAUCAAUAUAUUCUAACAAGCUUAAUUCUGAAUACUUCAGAGUUAUUGGGCAUGUUGGAGUGGCCCCUGUUACUAGGGAUUACUGCCAGUAAAGAACGGAUAACACAAAUAAGAUUUUUUUCCAUUAUAAAAUGGAUAUAUGCUAUUUAACAGUCUUUAAUCAACACUUACAUAUAGCUUGAUGUCUGGAGUUAUAUGUGAUUUAAAACAACAACCAUUCUAUUAUAUCUUUUGAUUUUUGUGGAUCAGGAAUAUAAUCAGGGCUCAGCUGGAUAAUUCACCUGGUUCAUGUGGUAUCUAUAGAGGUCACUCCGUAGACUUCAGCUGGGAGAUGGGCUGAUUACAGAGUCCACGGUGGUUUUGCUCAUGUCUGGCACUUUGGUGGAGAGGGCUGGAAGGCUGGGCUCAACUGCAGCGGUGGCCAGAGUAGGUGCAUGAGACCUCACCAGCAUGUCAAUCGCAGCGUGCUGUAAUAGCUAGGUGAUAGACCAAGUCCCAGAGAAAACGUUCCAAGAAAGCUAGAUAGACACUUUAAGACUUUGUAUUAGUUUCAUGUUGCUGCUGUAACAAAUUGCCACAAAUUUAGUGGUUUAAAACAGUACAAAUUUAUUUUCUUAGCAUUCUGGGGGGUUGAAGUCCAAAAGGAGACUUAAGGGGCUAAUAAAAGCAUCAGCAAGGUUCUGUCCUGGAGGCUCCAUAGAAGAAGCUCUUCCUUGUCUCUUCCGGCUUUUGCCGUUCCUUGGUUCCUGUCCACAUCACUCUGAUCUCUGUUUUUGAUCAAUACAUCAUCUCCUUCAUUGACCUUUUCUUGCCUCCCUAUUAUAGUGACCCCUGCGAUCAUAUUUAGGCCCCGAAUAAUCUCAUUCUCUCAAAAUCCUAAUUAAUUACAUCUGCAAAUCUCCUUUGCCAUCCAAGGUAACAUAUUCAAGGGUUGGAGGAUUGGGAAUGGACAUUAUUCAACCUUCCACCCGACUUGUUAUGAUGACCUAGCUUUGGAUGUCCCAGAAUAUCACUUCUGCUGGUUGAACAAGUCACUAAGACCAGUCUGGAUUCAAGGGAAGGGAAAUUAGCAAGUGGUAUUCCAUGUAGAUGGCCAUGCUUAAUAGUAACUUAUUACUUUCUAUCAGUGCGUUUAGAAAAGAAUAAUUUCUGUUGGAAAUCUUGUAUUACAUCUUUCUCUAUUAACGCAUACCAUUGACAUAUAGGCUUUUGUUUAUUUUAAGAAAUUUGAACAUUAGUUCUUAUGCUGAGUGCUAGUGCAGUGAUUUCUUUUAUAUAUUGAGCUACGUGGGACUCCUUCCUCCAAAUAGGAUUUCUCAACAUUGGCACUAUUGACAUUUGGGGCUGGAUACUUCCUUGUUGUGGGGGCCGUCUUCCCCAGGGGAUUUUUAGCAGUGUCCCUGUCCUCUACCCACUAGAUGACAGAGCACCCUCGGACCCACCUCACCCAGUUCUGGCAACCAAAAAUGUUUCCAAACAUUGCCGAAUGUUUUAUGGAGAAGAUGUGGGGUGGGGGGAAGAGGAGAGAGUAGCAAAGUUGUCCUGGUCAAGAGCCAUUGCUUUAUAUGAAAUGCUGUAAGCUGCUGCUGCUUCAAUCCUCUGCCUUAGCUCUCCUUCUCUUCUGUCAUACAUGGAUACUUGCUGUUAUCAGUGUAUUCUCUUUGCUUCUAGCUCAUUGCUUUAUUUUACAUUUAUUUGUCUCUGGAUAAGGCCAGAAGAGUAACUCCUUACCUCUCUAUCAAACUCCUCACCUCUCUAUCAAAUAAAUGAGUUUUGUGAUAGCUGUUUUCCUUGAUUGCGAUGUCUCUUAAUUUCUAAGUUCUUGACUAAAUUCUAAAUAUUAGAUACUUAGAAAAUAUGGCUUCAGGUAAGCUGAACACUGCUAGAGUGUUUGAUUCACUAGUAAUUAAUUUGGUGUUCAUCUCAGUAGUCACUUAUUGCUAACUUAAGCAAUCAUGACAAGCAAGUUUUUAUAAACAAAUUUGUGGAUAGGAAAAUUGAAAUAAUAUGAAGUCUGCUACUUACAGGGGCAUCCAGAAGGUCAGUUGCAACUAAAGAUAAUGGAUGUUUUUGAAUGUUGGGAAUGAUCUGAUAUUGAACCAUUAAUAGUUUCAGUUUUUCUAAAAAUAGUGAUGAGUUUGCAUAACCACACUUUUGACUGGUUUUCUUUGGCACGUCAGUGUAAAGCUAACUAGAACAAAUAAAGACCAAUCUUUGAGUGAAAAAUUUAUUAGCAUUUUUCUCAAGUCAGUUGAAUUAAUUAGCAUGUAGAUUUAUAGGACUCUUCCCUUGUGUUUGACUCACAGGUUUAUGUCUGCUUUAGGUUAAUAAAAACAACCACAUUAGAAACAGAAGUUAGAUGUUAAAAUGUAAUAACUUAGUUACCUCAGAUCUUCUGGUAAAUGAGAGAUCUUCUAGGCAAAGGACUUUAAGCUCUUAAGCAUUUACUUGGAUAGCUUUUAUUGGAAGCAUAUUUGAACGUAGUGCUGCAUUUUUCCCUGCCUUAAUGAAAGCAUAAUGAGCACAAUUUAGCUUCUGCUAGAUGUCAGAGUCCUUAUAUACUGUAUUUUAAUACAGCAAUAUUUUGGGGGGCUACUUCUAUUUGUAGAUAUACUACUAGUCAUCACACCCUGUGCCAUUCCAGUUGGCAGGCUUUUUAGACUCUGUCGUAUAGUGGUAGUGAAAUGUGCUGGACUUAUAGUAACCCUCCCCCACCCCUCAGUGCCUGCAGACUAUUCUACGCUAUUCUCAUUCAUCCCUUGUGGUUGUGGUAAACUCUUUUCUGCUGUGUAAGGAGGUUUGCUUUUUGGCAUCUUUUUUUGUUAUUUUUAAUGUCUGCUCUUUGUCACUCUUCCAUGUGUUUUUUCUUUCUUUUCUUUUUCUUUCAUUCUCAUUUUGUUUUUGCUCCCCCUAGGCUUCUCAAUAGGGUUUAAUCCUGAUAUUCGUUUCAAGGUCAUAGACCACCACCCUUCUUUGUCUUUCCACCUAGCCAAUUGCUUCCAUCACAUUAUUGAUCUUUGAUGCUCAGAUCUCACAUUGAAGAUCCUAAGACCUUCUGCAGCUGCAACUCUCGCUGCUGCUAACACCAUCUUCACUACAAUUACUUAGCAAUUAUUAAGCAUCUGCUAUGUGUCAAACAUGCUGAAUUAAAUUUUUGAAUGAGUUUUAUAAAAAACUAGAGGCCCGAUGCAUGAAGAUUCAU